GAUGAACGCUGGCGGCGUGCCUAAUACAUGCAAGUCGAGCGAACAGACGAGGAGCUUGCUCCUCUGACGUUAGCGGCGGACGGGUGAGUAACACGUGGAUAACCUACCUAUAAGACUGGGAUAACUUCGGGAAACCGGAGCUAAUACCGGAUAAUAUAUUGAACCGCAUGGUUCAAUAGUGAAAGACGGUUUUGCUGUCACUUAUAGAUGGAUCCGCGCCGCAUUAGCUAGUUGGUAAGGUAACGGCUUACCAAGGCGACGAUGCGUAGCCGACCUGAGAGGGGGAUCGGCCACACUGGAACUGAAACACGGUCCAGACCCCUACGGGAGGCAACAGUAGGGAAUUUUCCGCAAUGGGCGAAAGCCUGACGGAGCAACGCCGCGUGAGUGAUGAAGGUCUUCGGAUCGUAAAACUCUUUUUUUAGGGAAGAACAAAUGUGUAAGUAACUAUGCCCGUCUUGACGGUACCUAAUCAGAAAGCCCCGGCUAACUACGU
rnacentral:rRNA from 1 species